GAUUGAACGCUGGCGGCAGGCCUAACACAUGCAAGUCGAGCGGAUGAAGGGAGCUUGCUCCUGGAUUCAGCGGCGGACGGGUGAGUAAUGCCUAGGAAUCUGCCUGGUAGUGGGGGAUAACGUCCGGAAACGGGCGCUAAUACCGCAUACGUCCUGAGGGAGAAAGUGGGGGAUCUUCGGACCUCACGCUAUCAGAUGAGCCUAGGUCGGAUUAGCUAGUUGGUGGGGUAAAGGCCUACCAAGGCGACGAUCCGUAACUGGUCUGAGAGGAUGAUCAGUCACCCUGGAACUGAGACACGGUCCAGACUCCUACGGGAGGCAGCAGUGGGGAAUAUUGGACAGUGGGCGAAAGCCUGAUCCAGCCAUGCCGCGUGUGUGAAGAAGGUCUUCGGAUUGUAAAGCACUUUAAGUUGGGAGGAAGGGCAGUAAGUUAAUACCUUGCUGUUUUGACGUUACCAACAGAAUAAGCACCGGCUAACUUCGUG
rnacentral:rRNA from 1 species